AGAGCAGUCUGAACGAUCGCUGGAUCAUUUUCUGAUCCGGAGGAAAGUCCGAACACCGAAGGGCAGGGUGCUCCGUAACGCGGAGUCGUGGCAACGCGAAGGAAAGUGCAACAGAAAGCAUACCGCCUACCCCCUUCUUCACGAAGGGGCGGUAAGGGUGAAAAGGUGCGGUAAGAGCGCACCAGUUCCCCGGGUGACCGGGGAAGCUUUGUAAACCCCACCCGGUGCAAGACCAAAUAGAGGGGCGUAAGGGGGAUUACUUUGUAAUUCCCCGGUAAGGGCGGCCCGCCCAAGCUCCCGGGUAGGUUGCAAGAGCCCUUGGGUAAUCAGGGGCCUCAGAUGAAUGAUCGUUACCCGUUUCGGAGUAAUCUGGAUCGGGGACAGAAUUCGGCUUACGGACUGCUCUGGCC
rnacentral:RNase_P_RNA from 1 species